rnacentral:lncRNA from 1 species
AACCCGGGGCUCUGGGAGCUACUAAGCAACCACUGGGCUGGCCAGUGCUUUUGUUUUACUGAUGUUUCAAUUCAAACCCAGACAGGCCAAGAACACACCAGAGAGAAUCUUAAAGGACCAAAGUCGCCAGGAGUGCGCCUGUGACUUCUGCCUUGAAGUGUGGGUGGCUCUGAGGAUGACCCUGAGAAGCUAUCUGCCUGACUGUCCAGUGCUCUCCUAGCAACCUCUGGAUUCAUUUCAGCUACAAGUUUCAUUCAGUGGCUGGCGGUGUUAAAAUGCACAUGACCACUCUCCUCUCCUUUGCUGCACCUCCGCAUCCCAGGUCAUAAUCACCAGGGAGCUGUGACCCACCUGUCUGAGGGGCUGCUGGCAUUUACCAUGCACAUGGCCUGAAGGCCGACACGGAAUGUGUGCCGACAGGAGCCUUCUCUUGGCUGUACUUCCUGGAUUGGAAUCUCCAUGCUCAGGGCACGUGA